rnacentral:rRNA from 1 species
GAUGAACGCUGGCGGCGUGCCUAAUACAUGCAAGUCGAGCGGUAAGGCCUCUUCGGAGGUACACGAGCGGCGGACGGCUGAGUAACACGUAGGAACGUACCCCAAAGUGAGGAAUAAGCACCAGAAAUGGUGUCUAAUACCGCAUGUGCUCUAAGGAGUAAAGCUUCGGCGCUUUGGGAACGGCCUGCGCAUGAUUAGCUUGUUGGUGAGGUAAAAGCUCACCAAGGCGACGAUCAUUAGCUGGUCUGAGAGGAUGAUCAGCCAGACUGGGACUGAGACACGGCCCAGACUCCUACGGGAGGCAGCAGUAGGGAAUUUUCCACAAUGGGCGAAAGCCUGAUGGAGCAACGCCGCGUGCAGGAUGAAUGCCUUCGGGUUGUAAACUGCUUUUAUAUGUGACGAUUAUGACGGUAGCAUAUGAAUAAGGAUCGGCUAACUCCGUGCCAGCCGCCGCAGUAA